UUCUUCUUGUGGACUUUUGUUCUACUGCACAGAAGGUCUCAAGAUUCAAUGGGAAAUGGUGUGAAAAGAAAGACUCAUGAAACCAAGUUAAAGAAAUCAUGGAACAACUACGUAUAUCUAAGGAUGUGAUUAAGAAAUAUAUUCAAGGCAAACCAGCAACUUUAGAAAUAUUUCUUUCCGAAACUGCCCAUACUCAUGCAAUCUUUGGCAAAGAUUCUCUUGGAACAUCAAUUAGCUUUCUCGUAAGAAAAAAUCAAACAGAGUUAGAACCAGCAUAUUUUUUCGGCAAACGUUAUAUGUAUAUAUCUAUUAUUCUCUUCUUUCAAAUAAUUGAAUAUUUUUUACCUACA
rnacentral:misc_RNA from 1 species